UACGUAGGUGGCAAGCGUUGUCCGGAAUUAUUGGGCGUAAAGCGCACGUAGGCGGUUCGUUAUGUCGGAUGUGAAAGCCCUUGGCUUAACCGAGGAAGUGCAUCCGAAACUGGCGAGCUAGAGUACUAAAGAGGAUCGCGGAAUUCCCGGUGUAGAGGUGAAAUUCGUAGAUAUCGGGAGGAACACCGGUGGCGAAGGCGGCGAUCUGGGUAGAUACUGACGCUGAGGUGCGACAGCGUGGGGAGCAAACAGG
rnacentral:rRNA from 1 species